rnacentral:rRNA from 1 species
ACGAACGCUGGCGGCGUGCCUAAUACAUGCAAGUCGAACGCUUCUUUUUCCAUCGGAGCUUGCUCCACCGGAAAAAGAGGAGUGGCGAACGGGUGAGUAACACGUGGGUAACCUGCCCAUCAGAAGGGGAUAACACUUGGAAACAGGUGCUAAUACCGUAUAACAAUCGAAACCGCAUGGUUUUGAUUUGAAAGGCGCUUUCGGGUGUCGCUGAUGGAUGGACCCGCGGUGCAUUAGCUAGUUGGUGAGGUAACGGCUCACCAAGGCGACGAUGCAUAGCCGACCUGAGAGGGUGAUCGGCCACAUUGGGACUGAGACACGGCCCAAACUCCUACGGGAGGCAGCAGUAGGGAAUCUUCGGCAAUGGACGAAAGUCUGACCGAGCAACGCCGCGUGAGUGAAGAAGGUUUUCGGAUCGUAAAACUCUGUUGUUAGAGAAGAACAAGGAUGAGAGUAACUGUUCAUCCCUUGACGGUAUCUAACCAGAAAGCCACGGCUAACUACGUGCCAGCAGCCGCGGUAAUACGUAGGUGGCAAGCGUUGUCCGGAUUUAUUGGGCGUAAAGCGAGCGCAGGCGGUUUCUUAAGUCUGAUGUGAAAGCCCCCGGCUCAACCGGGGAGGGUCAUUGGAAACUGGGAGACUUGAGUGUAGAAGAGGAGAGUGGAAUUCCAUGUGUAGCGGUGAAAUGCGUAGAUAUAUGGAGGAACACCAGUGGCGAAGGCGGCUCUCUGGUCUGUAACUGACGCUGAGGCUCGAAAGCGUGGGGAGCAAACAGGAUUAGAUACCCUGGUAGUCCACGCCGUAAACGAUGAGUGCUAAGUGUUGGAGGGUUUCCGCCCUUCAGUGCUGCAGCUAACGCAUUAAGCACUCCGCCUGGGGAGUACGACCGCAAGGUUGAAACUCAAAGGAAUUGACGGGGGCCCGCACAAGCGGUGGAGCAUGUGGUUUAAUUCGAAGCAACGCGAAGAACCUUACCAGGUCUUGACAUCCUUUGACCACUCUAGAGAUAGAGCUUCCCCUUCGGGGGCAAAGUGACAGGUGGUGCAUGGUUGUCGUCAGCUCGUGUCGUGAGAUGUUGGGUUAAGUCCCGCAACGAGCGCAACCCUUAUUGUUAGUUGCCAUCAUUUAGUUGGGCACUCUAGCAAGACUGCCGGUGACAAACCGGAGGAAGGUGGGGAUGACGUCAAAUCAUCAUGCCCCUUAUGACCUGGGCUACACACGUGCUACAAUGGGAAGUACAACGAGUCGCAAAGUCGCGAGGCUAAGCUAAUCUCUUAAAGCUUCUCUCAGUUCGGAUUGUAGGCUGCAACUCGCCUACAUGAAGCCGGAAUCGCUAGUAAUCGCGGAUCAGCACGCCGCGGUGAAUACGUUCCCGGGCCUUGUACACACCGCCCGUCACACCACGAGAGUUUGUAACACCCGAAGUCGGUGAGGUAACCUUUUGGAGCCAGCCGCCUAAGGUGGGAUAGAUGAUUGGGGUG